rnacentral:rRNA from 1 species
AUGCAAGGCUGGUUUUUAUUUCUUCAUUUAUUGUUUUUGGUGAGCAGGCGAGUUAAUUUGACCAUUCCUCUAUCUGUUUCAUCAACUAGAUGCUUUAAAGGAUUUGAAUGGAGUUUAUUGUGCGAACCCCUGCUGCCAUGUCUCCAACUUCAUGCAGUGGGCUUGACUGGAUCUUGUGGUUUUCUUGCCAGAGACUCCCUGCGCCACCAUGGUUUUAUGUGUACUACCUCUGCAGUGGAAACUUCUGCUACAAUGUGCAUCGACACCAGAGCCAUGUUCCCUAUCGUGCUAUGGUGCUUAGCAUCAUCAUGUAUUUCCAUUCGGUGUAGUUGA